rnacentral:rRNA from 1 species
UACGUAGGUGGCAAGCGUUGUCCGGAUUUAUUGGGUUUAAAGGGUGCGUAGGCGGCCCUGUAAGUCAGUGCUGAAAUAUCCCGGCUUAACCGGGAGGGUGGCAUUGAUACUGCGGGGCUAGAGUCCGGAAGAGGAGAGUGGAAUUCCUGGUGUAGCGGUGAAAUGCGCAGAUAUCAGGAAGAACACCAAUGGCGAAGGCAGCUCUCUGGGACGGUACUGACGCUGAGACGCGAAAGCGUGGGGAGCGAACAGG